AAAGGUAUUUUGUAAGGAUUUUUCAGAAAUGAAGUAUUUGUUUAAUUCCAGAUAAACUUCACUCAGCAUACUGCGACUUGAGAACAGUUAUGAUCACACAAAGUCAUCAAUGUUGUUUCACUUGAAAGAUCAUCAACAGAAAAAAGAGGAUCUCUUAAUUCUGGAUUUUCCAGUCUGCAUGUCCCAUAAAGCUGCUGAUAGUGAGUGUAGUAGGAUGUGUUGCACAUGCUCAGGUGGCCUGUCUCUGGGAAAGGAAGCAGAUGGCAAGGUCCUUACAGGAGAAAAAGCCACUGAAUGGAUUGCUUUUUGCACAUGAGGAAUUUGGAGAUAGCUGGAAAUAAUGGGAAUGGGACAUGCUCCUUCAUAAAACAUCAGUCUCUUAUCACUGAGCUUAAACACAAUGUCAGUAUAUAUUUAUGUGAUUGUAAGCAACUAAAUUGCAUUAAAUGCAAAAAAAAAAGAAGGGGGAAAAAAGAAUGAAAAGCAGACCAAAUUCCAGUUCUGCCCUUGCUUCAGACACAAGCUUCACUUUUUUUCCUUCCUAAGCACCAGUGAGCAUACAGUCUUCUCAUUGGAUUUUCCUGCUGAACUUCCUGCAGAGUUUGUGUAAGUGUAGGAUACACAGAUUUUUCUCUUUCUUGUUUUUAAAUCUUCACAGCAGCCUGUGAGAGGUGAUCGUGUUUCUGUUUUAAUUUCAAGGAAUGAGCAUCCAUUGCAUCAGCACCUGUUCACAUGACAUUACUCUUUCUGACAUACCUUGAGACAUUUCAGAUUUGGUGUGCAGAAGGUGCAUACCCAGCUGGAAUUUCAGAGGAGAUGUGGUGUAAGCAUUAAUUUCAUUAUAGGAAAGGAAUCUAAUUUUGGAGAGCAUUCAGCUGUCUUAGCAAUGGAUGCUUCUUCCUGAAGUUCCCUGCUGUGCUGCUUUAACUGCUGCAGAAAAAGGGAAGCUGCAUGGGCUAAAAGUCCUGUCAUUAAAAAUAGUUGCAGUUCUUAAUAAAAGACCAAAACCAAGCAAACAACCUUUACAAAAAAAAUCCAAAGUCCCAAGCAAGGAAAGACACCAUGGCUGUGCCCACAGCACCCUGCAGACUGGGCACCUUUUCCUUCUCUGCCUGGGAAGGACAGAGGAGUUGCAGUAGUGUCCUGCAGGUAGGUGAUAGCUGGUCAGGUUUGGGAAACACCCCACUAAUGCAGCAGUUCAGGAACAGCUGGUUCAUUUUUCAGUAAACAUGAGUUAUUGGCAGGAAUGGCUCUAGUCUGACAUCAGGUCUGGGGGCUUUCACCAAAGUGUGCUGCUCCAGGAAGAGGAAAAGAACUGUGAAUUCUUUUUGCUUUCUGUUUUUGCUGGUAUGGCCACUUUUCAGGUAUUUUAUAAAUCUGUUCAUGCUGCAGUUGGUGUUGUCUUCCCACCUUGGAAGUGUCCUUGAUGCAGUAUCAGGAAGGUUAGAGUUGAAAAGGGCUGUGGUGAGGUGUUCAUGGAAAUCUGCUGGGAUUCCAGAGAUCUUGUGCAGUGUUAAAAAUGAAGCCAGGAGAGUAUUAGCACACUAGCAUUCUGCAAGUGAAGUUCAACUGGGUCAAACACUGGAGGAGUGUAGAUCAUAAGAGGGUCCUUUAAUAGCCAGAUAGCUGAGCAGUAAGCUCAUAAAUAAGGACAGUCCUGCUUAUCCCAUUGUGCUUACUCCAGAAAGCUGAGCAGCCACCUUUAUACUGUUUCCAAACAGUUCUGGAUUAAAUUAAAAAUUUUUGGUGGACACAGCUUUAAAGAUGACUCUUAACCAUGACCAUUUCUGUCAAAUUUGUUUUUCUACCCUACUGAUUUUCUUUCAGGUAUUAUUUAGGGAUUCACUACAAAAACCCUAUUAAUGAAUACCUAGUCAGUCUUUAUGCCAUCCAUGUUUUGGAUUUCUGUAACUUUGAUUUUCCAAAUUGCUGUACAUCUGCAGUAUGCCAAUACAUUGCAUUACAUCUAAUAAACAUUCUGUAGGCUUUUCAUAGAGCACUGCUGAGCUGAACACAUAGGUCAGAGGCAAAAUUCAGUUUCAGGUUGAAGAGUGAGUCUGUAGCAGUUCUGCUGAACUUGCCAGCAGGAUUUCUCAGCUGCUUCUCAUUCAGAAUUUGUGUCAGCAUUUCUAGAUGAUAGAUGCUGCAGAGAAAUGUAGUCAUGCACUUAGGAGCUAAUUUGCUCAUAAAAUAAUUUUAUGCAAAAAACCAUUCAUCAUUCAUCAUGUUUGUGAAGCAUUAAAACAUAUCUUUUCUUUAAUGUUCUGGUAAACAUUAAAUCUCUAUGUUUCUUUCAUGGCAGUUCAUAGAAAAUAAAUGUGCUUUUUUCCCCUCUGCUUUUUGCUUGACUGAUUCUUGGUUGUAAAGUUUUAGCCUUUUCUCUCAUGUCAAAUAGAUGUUUUCAUCUACAUGCCUUAGGAGUGCAGUGUAGCAUGUAAAAUCUAAAGGUCACAAAUUAAAUCUAUUUCACUGGGCCAAAGUGGGGUCUGUGGAGUGAAGGCUGCACCUUCCCCAGUGUGGGAGGCUGUGUGGCCAGAGAAGUAUCACCAUCAAUGUAGGUCAUCUUUUUUCUUUCCUUGGAAAUAGCUUGAAAAAUCCUUUUAGCAGCUAGGCUGAGGGUUAAAAUAGAAGCAGCUGAAGAACAUCAAAUGUGUGGCUGUAUCAGUAGAAGUUGCUGAAAUGAGAUACAGAUGUGCAAGUAUUUGUGUAGCUCUGUGAUUUUUCUGGUAUGAGAUGUGGGCACUGUGGGAUGGGCAGAGUGUUUGUUUAUACAUAUGGAAGAAAAUUAAUGUGGUUGUUCAGCUCUUAAUUGCUGUGAUUAGCUCCACCCCUUCUUUGACUGAAGAAUAAGUAAUAAUGGAAAUUUGCAUUGCAGGAAUACAUGAAAAGCAAUGCUCUUCUGUUAUAGCAAAGUCUAGACUCUAGCAUAAAAAUGUAGAGUCCAAUUUUGCAGUGGGAAUAAUCAUCCUUCUUCUCAGAAACAGCACUUGGAAUGUUUAUUCCUUUAACUUCAGUAAUUUCCACUUGUUUGAAUUUUUUGUACUGAUUCUGUGUUUUCUGUUCUCUAAUUAUACAAAGGCCAUAUAUUUGAGUUCUGGGCAUUCAGGUGUGAUAUCCUGACUUUCCAUGAAGAUUAUUUCUGCAAGGUAGAGUUUUUUGGCAUUCUGAAGAAAAUUGCUUAAUUUUUUGGUAAACUUGUCUUGUUUGAACUGUCAAGUGCAACUGAAAGCAUGUGUCUGCAGAUGUGAUCUCCUGAGCAGUUCCUACUGAGAUGAGCUAUUUUCAGUGCUGUUUUUAUGUCAGCAAAGAGUGGAAGUGAAUUAGCUCAGAAAGUUUUCUACUCUACACUUCUACAGAAUGACUGACCUUAGGAAAAAGAGGGGGCAUCAGACAUUUAGAAUAGUUGUACAUUAGACCAGUACAGGCAGUCUUCACUAAUGGACUUUAUUUUCCCUUCUGAAGCUCUCUUAGGAGUUUGUCUCAGAGAUCUGUAAUUUGUUUGAGCUGGCUGGAACAAAUAUUUUAUAUUUAAGUGCACACAGGUCCUUGCAAACAGACUUCAUUAAUUUCUCACACUAACACUCUGGUUUCUGGUUUGGCUGCAGUGCAGGUUUUUUUAGGGUUGAUAAUGAGAGCCAGGGAAGAGCCAGGAUAUGGCUUUUUGUGCACUCCAGGAAGAUGGCUGUAGGAGAGUGAAUCAUACAAAAGGAUUGAGUGGGGUGGAUCCCAUCAUUUACCUCAUGACUUUCCAAAUGGGAAACACUUCUGCUAGUCUGAUUUUACUGGGAGAGUGUUGGUUACAUCUCCUUGAUAGUACAUGUGACCACAUUUCCAUGCUAGGCUGGCAGCCAUUCCCUGCCAGAAUGAGCAGCUACAUUAAAGGAACCAUAAAGAAGUUUCCAGGAGUUGGGCAGGAAGGCUGAGUUAAAUAGGUGAAAUGAUUUCAGGUGUUCAGCUUAAGAUGUAGGCACGUGGUGAUGGAACAUUCCCCAGCUGAGGACAAGUGCUGGCAAGCUAUUUGUAGGUUUUCAUUUCAGUUAAAAAAUAAAAUCAUCUGGUGAGAAUAGGCAAAUACAAGGCUAGGAGAAAUGAGUGAUGUAUGUGAGAUGCAGACAGUGGCUGCUGUAAACAGGGAAUAAAGAAGUGGCACAGAUCUGUGUGGGUGAGCUGGGGAAUUCCACCCAAAGACUGCAGAGAUGGGUGGGAUUACAGGAUCUUGUUCUAAGUGUGCUGUGGAGUUGUCUGGCAGGCAGCACUGCUGUUUGACUUCAGUCUCCUGUAAUAUCUCUGAAGAGCACAUGUGGGCUGUGCUGCUGGAGUGCUUUCCUGAAAGUGUGCCCACCACACACCAGUGGACUCCACUUCUGAGAUGUGCAUGUCAGGCAAGUAAAGUCAUCUCAGGUUUUUGAAGUGAAGUGUAUGGGAAGUCUAAAACCCUGAACUGAAGUAAAAGUUUCCAAAGGAAUUUUGCAUUGGCAGUUAAAGGAACACUUGCAGUAAUAUCUAAAUUGCAUUAAAAGUAAGCUGAUGUAGUCUGAUGUAGUCUCAGUCUUCUGUGUUAUGGCUUAUUUUUUUCUAAAUAUGAUGGCUGGGUACAAAGCAGCAAUAGUAUUUAGGUGGGGAGAAGAAAGCUGGUAAAGUUGCAGGGGUUUUUUUAAGAAAGUUUUUUUUAAGAAUUUUUUUUUUUUUAAUGUAUCUUUCCAUUUUCAUCUCUUCCUCUCAGCUCAGUUAGUCCCACUAGGAGUGCAUCCCUUUGGACAGAGGAUACAGGAGAAAACUGCUUUACAAGUGCAUGGUGAAAAGCAUGGCAGCAAUGAAGCAGCUUUUCUCUAGCAUGAAACCCAAAUCCAAAGUAGUGACUUGCUUGUAGGCUGGGUAACCAGGAGAGGAGUAGGAAGUACUAACACUAAAUAUCUGUGCUGUCUUCUGUGGCUGUUUCAGUUUGAGCUUCUACAAGCUUGAAAUACAAAGAAGUUCUGUGUUUUACAUCCUUCUAACCAUUGUGUAUUUCUUACAAAGCCUCUAGUAGUAAAUUAAUUAAUGCAGGACAGACCAUGAGGAUAUUUGGUGUAACUUUUUUUUCUAUUUAAAAAUACAUGUUUUGCAGAUACUGAGCUGGAUCUGGCCACAGAGACUCUGAAUUUUGCUCUUGAUGUAACAGAAACAUGGGGUACAUAAUUCAGAUUGAUUCCCUCUUGUCAGGUACUGUGUUGGUAGGUGAAAAUUAGAUAAUGAUGCCUGAAUUGAUUAAUCCCCUGGGCAUGGAGGAACUGCAGGGUAUAAAUGUGUGAGAAGACUUCCAGGAGGAAGUGUGGGCUUGGCAGAGCCAGGUGGGUCUCAAGGAAAGACAGACUCAUUUUUGAUGCACAGAGCCUCUGCUUGUGUUAGCAAAAAAUUCUUCUCUGUUCCAAACUGAGACCACAAAACCUUCAGUGAGAAAAAACCCACAAUCAGACUUUAAUACCAAGAGCAUGAGAAUGAUUGUAGUUACUUACAGAGAUAAGAUUGCUUGAUGAAAAUUGAGAUGUAAGUUUGAUUAGAUGUUCAUUUCCUUGUUAGACUCAUGGUUCAGUCCUGUCAUUAAAGCACUUCAGCCAGUGCAGGUGUCUUCUGCUGCCUGUAAGAUGCUGGUGGCAGAAUGAAGGGAGAAGCACAAAUCUGUGGCUGUGCAAAUGCACACUUUUUUCCCCCCUUUAUUAGUUGUCUAAAUAAGCUAUUUUUGAAACUGUAGUUAUUAACAGCAAUCAGAAAUCAAGCUCUGAAGAAGUUAAAACUCAUUUUUUUUAUCUUCAGUGCACAAAUGCCUGGACCCCUUUAUCUAUUAAUAAUGUUUUAGCUUCCAUUCUCAUCUCAUCUCACAAUCCCUGAAGAGCAUCCAUGAUGCUGUAUGAAUUGAGUUGGUAAGUAACCCCUCCUUGUACCUGUGGAGAAGUUUGAUUUCUGGCUUUCCUGAAAGGACUUCAGGAGUUCAUUGAUGCCAUCUGGUAUUAACAGCCUUUGCACACACACUGGGUACUAAAGCUUUGCUACAUUAUCAAGUCAGCUGGAGCCUGGAUAUGCUUUUAAAUUUACAAAAAUCUAGCAAAAUUCCUAUUCCCUGUAUGAAAAUUCCUAUUUCCCUGGCCUGUGGCAGUGCUGGGGUUGUAGCCUGGAGGGCAAUGCUGCUCUUCCCUGCCUGGCUGAUGCAGGAUGUCUGGCAGAACAGGAAACAAGAUACUAGAGCACAAAUAUCAAUCUCAUCCUGGAUUCUUGGGCUGGGUACCAUGCUCUUCAACUUGUUAAAUAAUACCUGGAAUAAUCAACAUAGGCUCCACUACUUAAAUCAAGUUUAUUUUAUCCCAGUGGUUUUUGAAUUGAAACUGCUCAGGCAAAACUUGUUUUUGAUGUAUUUAUAAUUGCUUCUUACAGUGUUGCAUACAAAUUUCAGCUGACUCUGGACUGAAGGAAUUUGGGCAUACCAGUAGGUGGCUUCUCAGGGCUCCAUUAAAAAAAAAAAAAAAGAAAAAAGAAGAAGAAAUAAAGGACAAAUAGUGAAAUUGGACAGAAGAUUAUAUGGCUCCCUAGUUUCUUUGCCCUAUUUAUUGUUACAUUUUUAAAAUAUGUUUCCUUUUCUAGGUGUUUUCUACAUUUGCUGGAUUUAGGCUUUGUCCUUCUCAAUCUCUUAAGGUUCAUCAUGCACCAGUAGUCAGAAGGGUCAUAUUUACCUCACAGUUUAGAACUGAUUCUCCUUGCAAACAUUUAAGAAGGGAAAAAAAAAGAAACUAGUAUUUCACAUCUUCCUGGUUUUCUAUAUUUUAAAUUGAAGUGAUUAGGGAACUGGGUUUUAAUGAGCUUUUACUAGAGGUGAGAUAGAGAAGGAUUUGUGUAACUGCUCAUUUUAUUUGUCUGAAAUAAUUUUUUGGUUGUCACUUGACUCAGUGCCUUCUCAGGAACCUGCUGCUUUUCAAGGCUCAGGUGGAAAAUUUGUGAGACUGACACAAGAGAGGCAGAGGAGGAUAAAAAUCCAUUGUGUUCUCAGAAGUGGAGCUCAGUGCCUCCUUUUUUCAUGUGUGAUUUGGGUUGGGACAAGAACUGAACCAAUAGUUUUGGUGUUUUGUCCAUUGAUAGCUGGUGAAGAGCAGCACAGAGCUGCAUGAGCUGGCUGAAGGAGGGCAGCCCCUGGGAGCUGCAGAGAGAUGAUGAAGGAUAGACACUGUGAUGGGCACUAAAGCAUGGACCUGAAGUGUGCACUCUGGUGGCAGGUACUCCUAUCUGGUCCAGUGGUCUGAUGUGUCUGAGGAGAAGGCUUAGGUGCUGUGUGUCUCCAUUUAUUAAUUUCAGUGUUGAUUGAAAUGUUUGUCUUUAUUUAUAGCAUAUCCAGCAGCUGAGUUCAACAGAGAAGGUAAGUUUAGAGCUUGGGGCUGGGGAUGAAAGGGUUGAAAACCAAGCUGGAUAGUUAAUCUGUUUUGGUUUUUUUUUUCUGAUACAAUCCUUAGAGAUUAUGGGCAGAUGUUGGAUUUAUGGACAUCUGUCAGAAUGAUCAGGCAGCUUCUAAAACCAUUACAAAAUGGCAAGAAACAGGGCAUUUAUUAUAUAUUAUAUGAGGAGGAGAAGAGACUAAUUUGAGAAUUAGAUUUUUAACCAUUCUUGCAGUAUAUAUUUAUCCUUUAAUAUACAGACACAGAUGCAAAUUCACCAAUCUGUUCAGUGAGAUAUUUUUCCUAUUAAUUUUCCUGAUUUAGUGUUAGUGUCUCAUUUGUUGCUAGAAACUAUUGAGCUGGUCAUGUUCAUUUUUCUCUGCUGAGCUCAGUGAGUUUUGCUCUCCACUCUGUGAUGGGGGAUUGCUGUUAGCUGUGCUUUAAAGACAAGAAUUCCUCAGUUUGGUCAAAUUUAGGAUGUGUUUGUUCUAAAGCCUAUUCAAAGCAUUAGCUAAUAUAUAUCUCAGUUCUCUGAUGUGGGUUAUAAAGGACUUGCCUGUCAAUACAUCUGAAUUACCUUGUUUUGACAGGUAAUUAAAUCUGGAUCUCCUCCUUGGCUAACAAAGCAAGCAGUCUCAGAUAUGCUUUGCUAGGCAGAAUCAUGUGAAGACAGCAAGGUUUAAUUUCUGUAAGGAAAAAUGCAUUUUAAGAACAUGAAAUCUAGAUGACCUUAAAGGGCAACAAAGAAAUAAAAUUUUAUUAGAUACUGUAUAUUAAUGCUCCAACUUGGAUGUAGGAAUUCCUGAGUAGUAAUUUUGGUUUAACUGUCAUUAAAGCUCUGUGCACAAUCUGUACUUCUGCAGGAAAUGUGAAACAUCCCAGGGACUGGCUGGCUGCCUGAAGAACCCCACACCUGCCUUUCAUGGCAAGUGAGCUGAGCAGUGAUGUGCCCAUGGCAGCAGUUCAGGUGGGUGUGUUACCUCUGUUUGCAGAAUUUUCUUGUUCUCUGAAUUGUACUGGAAACUGCACGUGCCUUGUACAAUCUGUUUGGUCCUCUUGUAAUGUCCAGUUUUCCUAAUAAACAUCUUUUGAAGUC